rnacentral:lncRNA from 10 species
CUAGGCUGAUUUCGGAAUGCCUCUAGAAUCCAGCGUGCUUGCCCAUCACUCAUAAACUGAUAAGGAUCCUGUCUCCGAAUCUAUGUAUUCUGCUCAUCCCAAGAAUUUGACUUUGAGAAAGAGGAAGAACUUUGUGAAGUAAACCACGUGAGAUUUCCUGAUCUGCCCUAGAAAAGUUUUGUAUUUCUGUAAGAGGAUCCUACCACUCAUAAGAAAACAAUGAACAAUCUGCUGAAGUUUUUAAUUUCUUACACGUGUAAGCAAGCUUUCUUUUGUUUAACAACCAUCAAGAACUGGGACAGAUGUCGCCUCGUUUCAGGUGAAAAUGAUAUCCAUGUGUGCUUAUCACGAGUUUGGCCCAGAAUUCAGUAUGUAUUUAUGCAGUAAAAAGUAAGGAUAUGUUUUAGAUAAAAGAUGUGAAUUUCAUUCUAUAUUUUUAACCUCAGAAAAACACUUUGUAUGCACAUAUAAGCCUAUAAAGGAAAUCAAGAAACUAAUAUAUGUGCAUAAUAAUUUUGCAUCUGCUAGACCUUUAUUUGACCUUUAUCAUGUCACUCAGUGAAAAAAACUUCAAAUCUUUAAUAAAAUAAUGUCUUAAACUAUAUUCUUACUCAUUUUGCUUUGGCUUGUGAUUAAUUGCUUUACUAUUCAAUACUUGCAAAAAUUUUUAUAUAGUAAAUAACAGUAAUUAAAAUAAAUUUAUAAUCCUUAUUUAAAGAAGUCUACCAAGCUGACUUUUCAAAAUUCAUUUGCUUUUUGGUUUAAGCCAGCUAUUUUUUUUUUCAGAACAAUAUGUUUAAUACAAUCCAACAUAUGUAAUAAAAACAUAAAAGAUUCAUAGCACCUAUAUGUGUAAAUAGAUACAGAUAUAUAGAAAAAGUCUGGAAGGGUCCACUGUGAACAGCUAAUCAUUGCUUCCCAUAGAAAGUAUGAUGUGCUUAUGAACGUGACAUGUUUUCAGAAAAAAAAAAGUAUGUUGUGGUGAGUCUCAACCCUAUCGGGCCUGAGGAGAGAUGAACUGAGAUUUUGACUUUUGUACCCUGUAUACCUCUGU